rnacentral:misc_RNA from 1 species
CACACUACUUUCUUCUUAUCUAAUAAGAAGAAUUUUGGUUGCGAUUGUUCUUUGAAAACUAGAUAACAGUAAUUGCUGAGGAAAAGUGAAACUUUUCUUUAAUCAAAUCAAUAAAUAACACAACAUUAUGUUGUACCAUUUAUUCGCUAAUGGUUAAGUUAGAAAGGGCGCACGGUGAAUGCCUUGGCACUAGGAGCCGAUGAAGGACGGGACUAACACCGAUAUGCUUCGGGGAGCUGUAAGUGAGCUUUGAUCCGGAGAUUUCCGAAUGGGGAAACCCGG